rnacentral:rRNA from 1 species
CCUACGGGUGGCAGCAGUGGGGAAUAUUGGACAAUGGGCGAAAGCCUGAUCCAGCCAUGCCGCGUGUGUGAAGAAGGCCUUCGGGUUGUAAAGCACUUUCAGUGGGGAAGAAAGCCUUGGGGCUAAUACCCUCGAGGAAGGACAUCACCCACAGAAGAAGCACCGGCUAACUCCGUGCCAGCAGCCGCGGUAAUACGGAGGGUGCGAGCGUUAAUCGGAAUUACUGGGCGUAAAGCGCGCGUAGGCGGUCUGAUAAGCCGGUUGUGAAAGCCCCGGGCUCAACCUGGGAACUGCAUCCGGAACUGUCAGGCUAGAGUGCAGGAGAGGAAGGUAGAAUUCCCGGUGUAGCGGUGAAAUGCGUAGAGAUCGGGAGGAAUACCAGUGGCGAAGGCGGCCUUCUGGACUGACACUGACGCUGAGGUGCGAAAGCGUGGGUAGCAAACAGGAUUAGAUACCCCAGUAGUC